rnacentral:rRNA from 1 species
GACAGAGGCCCCGAGCGUUAGUCGGAAUUACUGGGCGUAAAGGGCGCGUAGGCGGCCCUCUAAGUCAGACGUGAAAUCCCUCGGCUCAACCGGGGAACUGCGUCUGAGACUGGAAGGCUUGAGUAUGGGAGAGGUAAGUGGAAUUCCUGGUGUAGCGGUGAAAUGCGUAGAUAUCAGGAGGAACACCUGCGGUGUAGACGGCUUACUGGACCAUAACUGACGCUGAGGCACGAAAGCGUGGGUAGCAAACAGG